UGUUGUGUUGUGUACAGGGCUU
rnacentral:misc_RNA from 1 species